rnacentral:tRNA from 1 species
GCAUCCAUUGCUGAAUGGUUGAGGCGGCCACUUUUGAUUGGCUAAUUUGUAGGUUCAAUUCCUACUGGAUGCA